GAUAAGUUUGUGUUGCCUGCUUGUAGCGCUUAUAUAUGGGGCUCGCGGGGAUGGAGCUUUUAUAGUUUUUUAUGCAACACUGUGCUGAAAUAUGAGUUAACAGAUUAUAGAUUCAUGAUCUGAACGUGUAAGAUUUGGCAGAAUCCUUAGUUUCAAGGAAUUUUGACACAGCUUCUGUUGACCAAGUACUUUUCCUGCUGUAAAGAGAAUGCUAGCUUCCAUUUCCAGAAAACCAAGAAGA
rnacentral:lncRNA from 1 species